rnacentral:tRNA from 1 species
CUCCUGAUAGCUCAGUUGGUAGAGCGUUGGACUGUAAUUGAGAAGAAAUAGUGGUAUCCACAGGUCGUGUGUUCGACUCACACUCGGGAGA